rnacentral:rRNA from 1 species
AGGAUUAACGCUGGCGGCGUGCAUGAAACAUGCAAGUCGAGCGCGGUACGUGGCUUCGGUCACGUAUCUAGCGGCGCACGGGUGAGUAACACGUGAGCAACCUACCUUCGAGUUCGGGAUAGCCCUGGGAAACCAGGAUUAAUACCGGAUGUGGUCACAACGGGACAUCUCGAUGUGAAAAAAGGCGCAAGCCGCUCGAUGACGGGCUCGCGGCCUAUUAGCUUGUUGGUGGGGUAACGGCCUACCAAGGCGACGAUGGGUAGCUGGUCUGAGAGGACGAUCAGCCACACUGGGACUGAGACACGGCCCAGACUCCUACGGGAGGCAGCAGUUAGGAAUUUUCCGCAAUGGGCGAAAGCCUGACGGAGCAACGCCGCGUGUGUGAUGAAGGCCUUCGGGUUGUAAAGCACUGUCGGAGGGAAGAUGAAUGACGGUACCUCAAGAAGCCCGGCUAACUACGUGCCAGCAGCCGC